rnacentral:tRNA from 1 species
GGGCUGGGGCUCAGUGGCAGAGCGCUUGCCUAGCAUGUGGGAGGCACUGGGUUCAAUCCUCAGCAUCUCA